rnacentral:rRNA from 1 species
GACGAACCGUGCGACCGUUGUUCGGAGUUACUGGGCGUAAAGAGUGCGUAGGCGGUGUUCCAAGUCUGGUUUGAAAUCUCCCGGCUCAACUGGGAGGGUGCGCCGGAAACUGGGAUGCUGGAGUAUGGGAGAGGUAAGCGGAAUUCCUGGUGUAGCGGUGAAAUGCGUAGAUAUCAGGAGGAACACCUGCGGUGUAGACGGCUUACUGGACCAUGACUGACGCUGAGGCACGAAAGCGUGGGGAGCAAACAGG